GAUGAAGAACGUAGCGAAAUGCGAUAAGUAAUGUGAAUUGCAGAAUUCAGUGAAUCAUCGAAUCUUUGAACGCACCUUGCACUCCUUGGUAUUCCGAGGAGUACGCCUGUUCGAGUGUUAUGAAGCUCUCAAAACGCAAUUGGCUUAAAACCUGAUUGUUGUUUUGGAUAUGAACUUUGCCGUGUUAUAACGGCUGGUUUUAAAAGUAUUAGCUGGUACUAGAACGAAUUGGUUCUACUCAACGUGAUAAUUAUCUGAUCGUUGAGGACAUUCCUUUCACGAGGAAUGGCCAUAGUAAAUUCAAUGGACUGCUUCUAAUCUGGCUUUAAUUCUUUAUUGGAUUAACCACUUUUCAAAUCUGACCUCGAAUCAGGUGGGACUACCCGCUGAACUUAAGCAUAUCAAUAAGCGGAGGA
rnacentral:misc_RNA from 1 species